rnacentral:rRNA from 1 species
AUUGAACGCUGGCGGUAUGCCUUACACAUGCAAGUCGAACGGUAGAGGGGCAACCCUCGAGAGUGGCGAACGGGUGAGUAAUACAUCGGAACGUGCCCAGUCGUGGGGGAUAACGUAGCGAAAGCUACGCUAAUACCGCAUACGACCCGAGGGUGAAAGCGGGGGACCUGCAAGCGCCUCGCGCGAUUGGAGCGGUGGAUGGCAGAUUAGGUAGUUGGUGGGGUAAAGGCCCACCAAGCCUGCGAUCUGUAGCUGGUCUGAGAGGACGACCAGCCACACUGGGACUAAGACACGGCCCAGACUCCUACGGGAGGCAGCAGUGGGGAAUUUUGGACAAUGGGCGAAGGCCUGAUCCAGCCAUACCGCGUGCGGGAAGAAGGCCUUCGGGUUGUAAACCGCUUUUGUCAGGGAAGAAAUCUUCCGGGUUAAUACCUCGGGGGGAUGACGGUACCUGAAGAAUAAGCACCGGCUAACUACGUGCCAGCAGCCGCAGUAAAAC